GACUUCAUGGUGUAAUGGUCGCACACACAGCAUUUAAUUGGAGCGCUGUGAGAUUUAGGUUCGAAUCCUAAUGAGGUCC